AGCAUACAGGUCUGUGAUGCCCUUAGAUGUCCGGGGCCGCACGUGCGCUACAAUGACGGUUUCAGCGAGUUUGGAAUCCUGGCCUGAGCAGGUUGGGUAAACUGUAUCAUAACCGUCGUGACUGGGAUCGGGGCUUGCAAUUGUUCCCCGUGAACGAGGAAUUCCUGGUAAGUGCAAGUCAUAAGCUUGCGCUGAUUACGUCCCUGCCCUUUGUACACACCGCCCGUCGCUACUACCGAUUGAAUGGUUUAGCAAGGUCCUCGGAUUGGUGCCAUUGCAGUGGCUUCGGCCGCUCGACCGGUGCUGAGAAGACGACCAAACUUGAUCAUUUAGAGGAAGUAAAAGUCGUAACAAGGUUUCCGUAGGUGAACCUGCGGAAGGAUCAUUACCUGAAAAUCUACUCUUACACAAGCGAUACACGUGUGACCGUCAUGUCAUGCGAUAAAAAUUUGCGGACGGCUAUGCCUGGCUCAUUGAGGUCACAGCAUAUCCGAUCACUGAUGGGGUGCCUACCUGUAUGAUACUCCGAUGGUAUGCUUGCGUCUCUCGGGGCGCUUGUCCAAGCCAGGAGAACGGGUUGUACUGCCAUGAUUGGUAGUGCUAGGCUUAAAGAGGAGAUUUGGGCUACGGCCCUGCUCCCGCCCUAUGAACUGUUUCAUUACUACAAUUACACUGUUAAAGUGGUAUUGAAUGGCUUGCCAUUCUUUGCCAUUGCCCUCGCAUGCACCCGGUCCUUGUGGCUGGACUGCACGUACGUCGCCCGGCGGUGCCUAUCCCGGGUUGGACUGAUAACCUGGUCUUUGACCAUACGUACAACUCUGAACGGUGGAUCACUCGGCUCGUGUGUCGAUGAAGAGCGCAGCCAACUGUGUGAAUUAAUGCAAACUGCAUACUGCUUUGAACAUCGACAUCUUGAACGCAUAUUGCGGCCAUGGGUUAGCCUGUGGCCACGCCUGUCCGAGGGUCGGCUUAUAAACUAUCACGACGCCCAAAAAGUCGUGGCUUGGGUUUUGCCAGCUGGCGUGAUCUCCUCUAUGAGUAAUCAUGUGAGGUGCCAGAUCUAUGGCGUUUCCCUAAUGUAUCCGGAUGCACCCUUGUCUUGGCAGAAAGCCGUGGUGAGGUGCAGUGGCGGAAUCGUGGUUUAAUAAUCGGGUUGGUACUCAGUUGUCAGUGUGUUUGGCGAUCCCCUAGUCGGCACACUCAUGAUUUCUGGGAUAAUUCCAUACCAGGCACGUUCCGUUACUGUUACUUUGUCAUUGGUUUGAUGCUGAACUUGGUCAUGUGUCUGAUGCUAUUUCAUA
rnacentral:rRNA from 1 species